CUGCAAGCGCGAGUUGGCCGUACGGGUGCGAGCAGCGGUCAGGAGGUGGUCACGGGCAGAGCGGAGGGUACGAGGAGGGGCAUAUCUAUGGAUUAGUGAAGAGAUAUAAGUGGGGCUAGAAUUGUUCAGUGCUUUAAAUGUGUGGGUUAGAACUUUGAAUUGACUCCUAUAGCAUACAGGGAGCCAAUGUAAGGACUGGCAGAGGGGUGAGGUGUGAGAAGACCGACUAGAGAGGAAAAUCAGUCUAGCUGCAGCAUUCAUGACAGACUGUAGCGGGGCAAUACGGCUUUUGGGGAGACCAAUCAGGAGAGGGUUACAGUAAUCCGUGCGGGAAAUUACAAGAGCAUGGACAAGCUCCUUGGUAGCAUCUUGCGUAAGAAAGGGGCGAAUGCGGGCUAUGUUUUUGAGUUGGAACCUACAGGACUUGGCAACAAACUGGAUGGGAGGCUCAAAGGUGAGACCAGAGUCAAGUAUGACGCCAAGACAGCGCGCUUGCAGGGAUGGACUUAUGUGGAUAUCACUGAGUUGAAGGGAGAGCGAGAGAGGAGGAUCAGUAUUAGGAGGAGGAAAGACAAGGAGUUCAGUUUUAGAGAGGUUAAGUUUCAGAAAGCGUGAGGACAUCCAGUCUGAGAUGGAAGAAAGGCAAGCAGUGACACGUUGCAGGACGGCAGGGGAGAGGUCCGGGGAGGAGAGGUAUAUGAGUGUCAUCAGCGUACAGGUGGUAGUGGAAUCCAAAAGAGGCAAUAAGUUUGCCUUGAGAGGCAGUAUAAAGAGAAACGUUCAGUACUCUAGAUGUUUUGCACUACAUCUCCAUAAUUCUCUAACAGCAAUAAUGCUGGCAAUGCAUUAUGGGAGAUGUAGCCGACAAAAUCUGGAGUGCCGAAGGUUGCCUACCCCUAGUUUAUAGUGUUUUACAGAUGGCACAGGUUAGCAGUUUUUCUUACAGGGUUAGCAAAAGUGUUGCCAGUCAACACAGCAUUGUUAAUGGCAUUGAACAUGGAAUACUGCAAGCUAUUUAUAGGCAGACAUAGCUCGAUCAACAUUUGACAGAUAUUCUGUGCUACGGUCAGGCAUUGAGGUGCGGGAGAGGGAUCACUGCAUCAAUAGAGGAGAAAGCUGCAGAACAGAUUGAGAAAUUGUAUACAGAGACUGCAUUGCAUGCUGUACGGCUGUGAAUGACA